AAUUGCGAUCAUACAAGCACUAAUGCAUCGGAUCCCAUUAGAACUCAGUAGUUAAGCUUGCUUGGGCGAGAGUAGUACAAGGAUGGGUGACAUCCUUGGAAGUACUCGUGUUGCACCUC
rnacentral:rRNA from 1 species